rnacentral:rRNA from 1 species
UUAAGAAUCUUGCGCAAUGGGCGAAAGCCUGACGCAGCGACGCCGCGUGGAGGAUGACGGCCCUCGGGUUGUAAACUCCUUUUCUGUGGGAAGAUAAUGACGGUACCGCAGGAAUAAGCCCCGGCCAAUUACGUGCCAGCAGCCGCGGUAAUACGUAAGGGGCAAGCGUUGUCCGGAAUCACUGGGCGUAAAGCGCGCGUAGGCGGUUUGAUAAGUCGGGUGUGAAAUCCCCGGGCUUAACCCGGGAACUGCGCCCGAAACUGUCUCACUGGAGGAACGGAGAGGUGCACGGAAUUCCCGGUGUAGGGGUGAAAUCCAUAGAGAUCGGGAGGAACACCAAUGGCGAAGGCAGUGCACUGGACGUUUCCUGACGCUGAGGUGCGAAAGCGUGGGGAGCGAACGGGAUUAGAUACCCCGGUAGUCC